CUCCGAAAGUGCUGGGAUUACAGAUGGGAGCCACUGUGCCCAGCUCUUCCUUCAUUUUAAAAGGUAAAAUUGGUGAAGUAAGUUGCAACCCUUUGUGGGGCCCACUGGUUUUGGCAGGGCCAGGCUGGGAUGAAUGGCUCUGCAGGUCUGGCUGAGCUCCCUCAUGUGUGCUGAGGACAGCUGAUAUGGGCAAGUGCAGCUCCAGCCUUGGCUCUGGCCCACAUAUUUCUUACCCUUGUUUUAUAACCUGUGUUACAAGCCCAGUCUUUUCUGCCCAUGGUAACGGCAGAUGCACAAAAGAGCCAUUGGGGAGCAGUUAUCCAAUCUACAUUUUCAAAAGUUCACCCUGACUAUGAGAUGUCAGAAUCUCAUUUGAUUGCCUUUUCAUGAAGUCAUGAUCCUCAGGGAGCCUGUAGGUUUUCUGGAAGUAGGAUAUAGAAUAGGAGCUGAUAUAGUCACCCAUUUCUUCUAUUUAUGUGGCUCACUUCACCAGUCACUGUCAAGAAAAGUUGGGAUAUUUGAGCUGACAGAGAUGAGAUCACAAUAAACACCAACCCAGAGAUGGCUACACAUGUAUUCUGAAAUGACUACACUCUGUUGACCAGGUGAGGAGUGGCCCUCCACAGCACAUACUGUCCUAUGGGCAGAGCGACAACUUAGGUAUCCAAGAUGCUGAUGCAGCAAGGUCUAGUGCUGAGUAACUGCAGGAUUCCAGGGAGCUCUUCAUAGCUAUAGGCCUCAGUUUCUUCUUUAAAGAGGAGGAAAUAUGUGAAUAGAAUCUAUAUCCUGAAUCAGUGGGGUUCAAGCUGGUGUGAAUACUUCAUCUUUGAAAGGGCUGAGAUACUUUUUCUAGUACGUUUAAUUUUUUAAUUUUUUUAAAUUGAUUGUAGAGUUUUCCUGAAAGAAUAAAUCAACACUGAUAUCAAGAGAGCAAGGAAUGAUGGACCAAGUCUUUCCAAAACCUAUUACCUUGCCAAAAGGUGUCCAUUGAAAUCAUAAAAAUUGUAAAAAAAAGAAAACUGCUCUAUGACUACUGGGAAAGACAGAAAAGGGUAACUUUAUGCCAUUGACAUAUAAGAAAUGUAGAACUUCUGGAGUGCGUGAAACACAGGGAACCACACUGAAACCAAACUAAUCAGACUUGUAUAGCAGGAAGCUCCUCUUGGGUUGCCAUCAACAGGUCUCCUCAUGGCUAUCCUGGCUGUGUCAUGAUGGUCUCCAAAAGUCUGGCCCUGAAAGUUAAGCUACUGAGAUCCAGUCCGUAAUGUAUUACUGAGUACAUGGAGUCCGCCUUUAAAAAAUAUUUCAGAGAAGAAGUGUUUUUCCCUUCACUUCGGGAAUUCUACAUGAGGGAAUGUGUGGGAACAGAACUGGAUCACAGAGGCUCCAACAAGCUGCAUCCCCCUCUGCACACCCCACUAGGUCCUAAGACUCCUGAGGCACACAUCAGACUCCCAAAGUCAGGAAGUGGGGAUGUGAGCAGCACCAUACGGCAGUGACAGCACCUUCUGCAAGAAGAGAAACUCUAAACCGAUUACAACAGUAUCAUUUCUGUGUUGAACCAUAAGUCACUGGAAACCCACUGCAACCAUGCUUCCAUAAUAGUAGCUGGAAUCUCCAAUUCUAGAAAGAAAAGGAAACAAAUGAAAAGCUUGAAAAACAAUUAAAGAAACACACUAAAACUGUUUUCUACUGAGUAAGAGGAUAUAUUCCAGGGAUUUCAAAGCAGUUACAGGUAAGAUCAUUCAUUCUCCGAUAUCUUGUGUGUGUCCUACUCACUUAGGUGGUAUCCUACUCACUUAAAUGCUGAUCAAAGUCAGGUGACCCCGCAAGUGAGUGGAAGGAAAAAGUUGUUUUUAGACCUCAUGUGGUACUUGUGUGUACUUCAUGCUAACAGUAUAUUCUCAUUUCUUUACCUACGAAUUAUAUAAACAAAAUUUUAGAUCAACAUCAGAUUGAAUUUCUGUAUUUCUUUUAGUUAUGUAAUACUUGGGAAAUGUGUUAAAGUGAGGUAGAGUUUGUGAAAAAUAAUAAUGAAAGUAUA